UUCCCCUAGUAACUGCGAGUGAAGCGGGAAAAGCUCAAAUUUAAAAUCUGGCAGUCUUUGGCUGUCCGAGUUGUAAUCUGGAGAAGCGUUUUCUGUGCUGGACCGUGUACAAGUCUCCUGGAACGGAGCGUCAUAGAGGGUGAGAAUCCCGUCUUUGGCACGGACUACCAGUGCUUUGUGAUGCGCUCUCAAAGAGUCGAGUUGUUUGGGAAUGCAGCUCCAAAUGGGUGGUAAACUCCAUCUAAAGCUAAAUAUUGGCGAGAGACCGAUAGCGAACAAGUACCGUGAGGGAAAGAUGAAAAGCACUUUGGAAAGAGAGUUAAACAGUACGUGAAAUUGCUGAAAGGGAAACGCUUGAAGUCAGUCGCGUUUGCUAGGACUCAGCCUUGUCUCGACUUGGUGCAUUUCCUAGUGGACGGGCCAGCAUCAUUUUUGGCUGCGGGAAAAAGGUCAGAGGAACGUGGCACCUCCGGGUGUGUUAUAGCCUCUGGCUGUAUACCGUGGCCGGGAGUGAGGAACUCAGCACGCCUUCAUGGCGGGGCUUCGGCCACCUUCGUGCUUAGGAUGCUGGUGUAAUGGCUUUAAGCGACCCGUCUUGAAACACGGACCAAGGAGUCUAACAUGCCUGCGAGUGUUUGGGUGGAAAACCCGAGCGCGUAAUGAAAGUGAAAGUUGGGACCUCUGUCGUGGAGGGCACCGACGCCCGGACCUGAACUUCGGCGACGGCUCUGCGGUAGAGCAUGCAUGUUGGGACCCGAAAGAUGGUGAACUAUGCCUGAUAGGGUGAAGCCAGAGGAAACUCUGGUGGAGGCUCGUAGCGAUUCUGACGUGCAAAUCGAUCGUCAAA
rnacentral:rRNA from 1 species